UGGGGAAUUUUGGGCAAUGGGCGCAAGCCUGAUCCAGCCAUGCCGCGUGCGGGAAGAAGGCCUUCGGGUUGUAAACCGCUUUUGUCAGGGAAGAAAUCUUCUGAGUUAAUACCUCGGGAGGAUGACGGUACCUGAAGAAUAAGCACCGGCUAACUACGUGCCAGCAGCCGCGGUAAUACGUAGGGUGCAAGCGUUAAUCGGAAUUACUGGGCGUAAAGCGUGCGCAGGCGGUUUUGUAAGACAGAGGUGAAAUCCCCGGGCUCAACCUGGGAACUGCCUUUGUGACUGCAAGGCUUGAGUGCGGCAGAGGGGGAUGGAAUUCCGCGUGUAGCAGUGAAAUGCGUAGAUAUGCGGAGGAACACCGAUGGCGAAGGCAAUCCCCUGGGCCUGCACUGACGCUCAUGCACGAAAGCGUGGGGAGCAAACAGGAUUAGAUACCCUGGUAGUCCACGCCCUAAACGAUGUCAACUGGUUGUUGGGAAGGUUCCUUCUCAGUAACGUAGCUAACGCGUGAAGUUGACCGCCUGGGGAGUACGGCCGCAAGGUUGAAACUUAAAUGAAUUGACGGGGUCAUAGCUGUUUCC
rnacentral:rRNA from 1 species